GAUGAACGCUGGCGGCGUGCCUAAUACAUGCAAGUCGAGCGAACGGACGAGAAGCUUGCUUCUCUGAUGUUAGCGGCGGACGGGUGAGUAACACGUGGAUAACCUACCUAUAAGACUGGGAUAACUUCGGGAAACCGGAGCUAAUACCGGAUAAUAUUUUGAACCGCAUGGUUCAAAAGUGAAAGACGGUCUUGUUGUCACUUAUAGAUGGAUCCGCGCUGCAUUAGCUAGUUGGUAAGGUAACGGCUUACCAAGGCAACGAUGCAUAGCCGACCUGAGAGGGUGAUCGGCCACACGGGAACCGAAACACGGCCCAAACUCCCACGGGGGGCAGGCGGGGGGAAUCUUCCGCAAGGGGCGAAACCCUAACGGGGCACCGCCGGGGGAGUGAGGAAGGUUUGCGGUUCGUAAAACCCUGUUAUUAGGGAAAAAAAAAUUUGUAAGUAACUUUGCACAUUUUGACGGUACCUAACCAAAAAGCCGCGGCUAACUACGU
rnacentral:rRNA from 1 species